UUUUUUUUCCCCGCCUAAGAUGGUUCGUCGGACAAGCCAGCUUUGACGGACAAGCCAGCUCCGGCUUACCAAGCAUUAGAGCAAUGUUUCCCGGACUUGACAGGUGGCCCCAAGAAGACGCCCGACACUCUCUCUGCCCCGCUGCUCGGUGCCCAUCAUCCACUCCCACGCCUCUCGCCCCGAAGAGGAAGCGGCCGUGGGCAUCCGAGCCGCCACGAUGAGUCACCUGCAGCCGGGCUAAAUUGAGACCAACGAAACAAGGAAGUGGGCCGACGGAAAGUUUGCCAAAGAGAGGAUGACGAAGCCCAUGCUUCCCUUGUGACCCCCCCCCCUCGAGGGGGAGGGGUGGAUGAUGGGCUUUCCACUGCUACGAAUUUAGACUUCCGGAAUGAGAUUAAAAGUCAUUGAAAGUC